CAGCAGCCGCGGGAAUACGAAGGGGGCUAGCGUUGUUCGGAAUUACUGGGCGUAAAGGGCGCGUAGGCGGCCAUUCAAGUUAGAUGUGAAAGCCCUGGGCUCAACCUAGGAAUUGCAUUUGAUACUGUUUGGCUUGAGUUCGGGAGAGGUGAGUGGAAUUCCCAGUGUAGAGGUGAAAUUCGUAGAUAUUGGGAAGAACACCAGUGGCGAAGGCGGCUCACUGGACCGACACUGACGCUGAGGCGCGAAAGCGUGGGGAGCAAACAGGAUUAGAUACCCCUGUAGUCCCUGUCUCUUAUAC
rnacentral:rRNA from 1 species